CAGCCGCCGCGGGAAUACGUAGGGUGCGAGCGUUAAUCGGAAUUACUGGGCGUAAAGCGUGCGCAGGCGGUUGUGUAAGACAGGUGUGAAAUCCCCGGGCUUAACCUGGGAACUGCGCUUGUGACUGCACAGCUAGAGUAUGGCAGAGGGGGGUGGAAUUCCACGUGUAGCGGUGAAAUGCGUAGAGAUGUGGAGGAACACCGAUGGCGAAGGCAGCCCCCUGGGCCAAUACUGACGCUCAUGCACGAAAGCGUGGGGAGCAAACAGGAUUAGAUACCCCCGUAGUCCCUGUCUCUUAUAC
rnacentral:rRNA from 1 species